AGUGAACGCUGGCGGUAGGCCUAACACAUGCAAGUCGAACGGACACACAGUAAGCUCUUGCCCUUAAGGGUGGCGGCUGGCGGGUGGGUGAGGCAUACAUCGGAAUCUUCUUUUUCGUGGAGGAUAACGUAAGGCAACUUCCGCUAACACCGCAUACGAUCUACGGCAGAAAGCAAGGGUUAAUCGCACUUUUCCUGUCUGUUAUAGCCGGAGCCGGAUUAGCUAGUUGGCGGGGUAAAGGCCCACCAAGGCAACGAUCCGUAGCUGAUCUGAGAGGAUGAUCAGCCACACUGGAACUGAGACACGGUCCAGACUCCUACGGGAGGCAGCAGUGGGGAAUAUUGGGCAAUGGGCGCAAGCCUGAUCCAGCCAUACCGCGUGAGUGAAGAAGGCCUUCGGGUCGUAAAGCCCUGUUGUUGGGAAAGAAAAGCAGCAUAUUAAUACCCCGCUGUUCUGACGGUACCCAAAGAGAAAGCACCGGCUAACUUCGUG
rnacentral:rRNA from 1 species